UUUUUACAGGGGAUCCCGGUCAGCCAGGUCAGCGUGGCCUGCCAGGCAUCCCAGGUGCAAAGGGAGAGCCAGGUAUUCCUGGCAUUGGACUUCCAGGUCCACCAGGCCCAAAAGGUUUCCCAGGUACUCCAGGCCCCCCCGGAGCUCCGGGAACUCCAGGUCGCCCUGGUCUAGAUGGACCUCCUGGACCACCUGGUUUCCCAGGACAGAAGGUCUGUGUUUGCUUGUUUACUGUAAAGCUUCACUUUCUUGGAGGUUCUCCUGCAUAAGCAGGAAGUCGGUGGG
rnacentral:lncRNA from 1 species